rnacentral:lncRNA from 1 species
CAUAGAGAUAUAGACACAGACGCAAAUACAGUCACAUAGAGAUAUAGACACACACUUAUACACACAUAUAUGUAAAUAUACAGUCUCAUUCACUUUAUACCACACAUGUAUAAACAUACACAAUUGUAUGUAGACACACAUACACAUAGGUACUCAGACCGCAUAGAUACAUAUGUACACACAUACAAAUAUAUGCACAUACACAGAUAUAUAUAUACACACAUGCAUCUUUAACCAGAACAACUUUACUUUUGUCAGUUUUAUAUGACAGAGUCUUUAAAAAAAGAUUUCAUCUGGCUUGUGUUCUACUAUUAAAAGAGAAAAUGAAUUUGCUUGUU